UAAAUACUCCUGACUGACCGAUAGUGAACCAGUACCGUGAGGGAAAGGCGAAAAGAACCCCGGCGAGGGGAGUGAAAAAGAACCUGAAACCGUGUACGUACAAGCAGUGGGAGCCCCACCACUAAGCCAGUGGUGAACUCCACAUACGCAUCCUUUGCUGAGGAUACGGUUAACGGAGCGAAAGCGACGUUCAACCGCAAAAGAAGCAGAGGGGGCUUAGUGGUGGGGUGACUGCGUACCUUUUGUAUAAUGGGUCAGCGACUUAUAUUCUGUAGCAAGGUUAACCGAAUAGGGGAGCCGGAGGGAAACCGAGUCUUAAUUGGGCGUUAAGUUGCAGGGUAUAGACCCGAAACCCGGUGAUCUAGCCAUGGGCAGGUUGAAGGUUGGGUAACACUAACUGGAGGACCGAACCGACUAAUGUUGAAAAAUUAGCGGAUGACCUGUGGCUGGGGGUGAAAGGCCAAUCAAACCGGGAGAUAGCUGGUUCUCCCCGAAAGCUAUUUAGGUAGCGCCUCGUGAAUUCAUCUCCGGGGGUAGAGCACUGUUUCGGCUAGGGGGCCAUCCCGGCUUACCAACCCGAUGCAAACUGCGAAUACCGGAGAAUGUUAUCACGGGAGACACACGGCGGGUGCUAACGUCCGUCGUGAAGAGGGAAACAACCCAGACCGCCAGCUAAGGUCCCAAAGUCAUGGUUAAGUGGGAAACGAUGUGGGAAGGCCCAGACAGCCAGGAUGUUGGCUUAGAAGCAGCCAUCAUUUAAAGAAAGCGUAAUAGCUCACUGGUCGAGUCGGCCUGCGCGGAAGAUGUAACGGGGCUAAACCAUG
rnacentral:rRNA from 1 species